ensembl:lncRNA
GGAUGUUUAUAAAAACUUUUCCAUGACACACAGAAGGCUAAUGAGGAUUCCCAUUAAUUACAUUUGGGUACGAUACUCUUCAAAGUGAUGCGAUACGAGUCCGAGCGCUGAAACGAUGAAUUAAAAGCUCCGUAGAGUCGAUCAUCGGUCAGUUUGUGAAGCUGAAACGGGAAUUAAACGCACCAAUAAAUCAGUUUUAUUCUCUGUGUGCUCCUGACUUCACUAUUUGAGGUUUAAAGGAUCAUUAACUGUUGUCAGUGUGGCUUCAGUUUUUAAAUAUAACCCUAAAAUGUGCGAUUUAACGACGCUUUAAUCUGUCAGCUGUCCCCGUUCACUCCAAAUAAAACACUAAGAGAAAAACACAAACAUACAAAAAAGCUGGAUUUUGUCUGUGUUUUCAAGAUUUGUGGCGUAAAGCUGAACUGAAAUCAGAAAAUAAAUAUUUUAUGGCUUAAACAACAAUAAAUAAUCCCACGUGAUACAAAUCCAGCAGCAGUAACACUCCACCGCUUUAAUGGCUUGCCUUCUCCUUCAGGGAAUAAUUAGUUUAAACCUAUAAAGGGUUCCAGUUUCUACCUCUAAUAAAUACAAUUCUACAGCUCUAAUCUCUGAUACUUUGAAUCUAAAGGAACAGUUUCAGCUUAAAUCUCUGUUGAAAUCUGAGAAAUCUAUGUGUAAGAUAUCAAUAAAUGUGAUUUUCUUUAGUUGUAAAUGCUCGUUUUCAUCCUUAACAGCGCUAAAAUUAGAGUUUGUUAACCCUCCUGUUGUCCUCAUUUACGGGCAACAAAAAUAUUGUUUCCUUGUCUGAAAAAAAUCCAAAAAUUCAGUAAAAAAAUCCCCAAAUUUGCAAAACCUUCAGGAAGAAAAUUCCAGUUAUUCCUUAGAAGUUUCCCUUCAAAGUUUUGUUUUAAAAAAAUCCCCCAAAUUUGGCAAGAAAAUUCUUGUAAAUAUUUUCAAAAAAUGAGUAAAAAUCUUCCCCAAAAAAUCCUAAAAAUAUCUAAAGUGAUUCCAUAUAUAUCAGUAAAACUUGUAAUAUUUUCUUUAAGAACAUUCACAUAAAAAU